rnacentral:rRNA from 1 species
GACAGAGGGUGCAACCGUUGUUCGGAAUUACUGGGCGUAAAGCGUGUGUAGGCUGCUACAUAAGUCGGAUGUGAAAGCCCCGGGCUCAACCCGGGAAGUGCACUCGAUACUGCGUAGCUUGAGUCUCGGAGAGGUUGGUGGAAUUCUCGGUGUAGAGGUGAAAUUCGUAGAUAUCGAGAGGAACACCGGUGGCGAAGGCGGCCAACUGGACGAAGACUGACGCUGAGACACGAAAGCGUGGGGAGCGAACAGG